AACACAUGCAAGUCGAACGGUAAGGCCUUUCGGGGUACACGAGCGGCGAACGGGUGAGUAACACGUGGGUGAUCUGCCCUGCACUUCGGGAUAAGCCUGGGAAACUGGGUCUAAUACCGGAUAUGACCUCCUAUCGCAUGGUGGGUGGUGGAAAGAUUUAUCGGUGCAGGAUGGGCCCGCGGCCUAUCAGCUUGUUGGUGGGGUAAUGGCCUACCAAGGCGACGACGGGUAGCCCACCUGAGAGGGUGACCGGCCACACUGGGACUGAGACACGGCCCAGACUCCUACGGGAGGCGGCAGUGGGGAAUAUUGCACAAUGGGCGAAAGCCUGAUGCAGCGACGCCGCGUAAGGGAUGACGGCCUUCGGGUUGUAAACCUCUUUCAGCAGGGACGAAGCGCAAGUGACGGUACCUGCAGAAGAAGCACCGGCUAACUACGUGCCAGCAGCCGCGGUAAUUC
rnacentral:rRNA from 1 species